UGUAAUGUCUUGUUUAUCUUUUCCACUGUAGGCUGAAACAUUAUUCAGACUUCUAAUGUUGAGUAAUAUAUUUAAAGGAAUUUAUCCUUUAGGAAAAGCGCAAGAUUCCUGGAAUAUGUAUAUUCCUUUUUUCCAUUUUUGGAGUGUGGGUGUGCAUUAACCAUUGAAUAUGGAAAGCGCCUUGCAUGGAGAUUUUAAAAGAUUAUCGAGACAGAAGCUUAGAACAUUUCUGAUGCUGAUACUGCAGUCUUCAAAAUAGUCCAUUAACAGAACACACUAAAUUUAUUUCAAGAAUUUGUAUUUAAAAAUGUGGUUGGCAAAUAGAUGCUGCCUUCAUUACAAGUUAAAAAGGUUCUGACCAGAAUUACAAAGUAUAUUUGGGAACUGAUUACCAAAAGGAAAAUUUUCAUGUAAGCUGUCCAUCAGCAUGCGUCUUUGGAAUUUCUCUUGUGUGGGUCUGAGAACAGCUGAAUAUACCUACCUGUAAGCUGAACCCAAGAAUGUAAUUUUCUCACAUUUCCAUCAAAAGGCCACAAAGUACAAUAAAACAUCUUUAGUCAUUUGUAAUUCA